UUUAGAGAAGAGGAACUACCCAGUUUAACCAUUCCGAACCUGGAAGUCAAGCUCUUCAUCGCUGAUAAUACUGCUCUUUUCAAGAGUGGGAAUGUAGGUCGGUGCAGGGA
rnacentral:rRNA from 1 species